rnacentral:rRNA from 1 species
CCGGCGUAAAAGUACGGAGGAAGGUGGGGAGUGACGUCAAAUCAUCAUGCCCCUUAUGACCUGGGCUACACACGUGCUACAAUGGGCGGUACAAAGGGCUGCGAACCCGCGAGGGGGAGCGAAUCCCAAAAAGCCGCUCUCAGUUCGGAUUGCAGGCUGCAACUCGCCUGCAUGAAGCCGGAAUCGCUAGUAAUCGCGGAUCAGCAUGCCGCGGUGAAUACGUUCCCGGGCCUU